rfam:Schistosoma mansoni strain Puerto Rico chromosome 2, complete genome
AUCCAGCUGACGAGUCCCAAAUAGGACGAAACACGAAUCCUGGAU